GUUCCUGUAGCGCAAUGGAUAGCGCGUUGGACUUCUAAUCCAAAAGUGGUGAUCUUGAGUCCUAUCUGGAAUG